GGGGGCACCUCCUACAGGCCCCAAAUACAAUACGUAUUUCAUGUUUCUGUUGGUGGCAGCAGGUGGCCUAAAGAUCAGAAAGAUACAGUCUCUUCCCUGCCCUCAUUUUGCCUAUUACAGUGAAAAACUGGGCAGAGCAGAGAGGAAGAAAGGCAGCAGUAGGCAUGGGAAUAAGCAGUAAAGAUAUAAAAUUGCUCAGGUCUACUGUGACCACCCUCAGCUGCAGUACAAUUGCAGCCUGAGGACUGCUACAAAAGCUGUGAAUAGUUGCUCUGUCUCUGUGGUAGCAGAUGGUGGGGAUUAUGGUUCUCUCAAGUACUGAUAGUUUCCCUUGAGCAACACCUUUUUUUUUUUUUUUUAUCUCCCCCCCCCCCCCCCCCCCCCCCCUUUUUUUUUUCUUUACAGAAGGCAGACAUUUAUUUUAAAUGUUCAAAAAUGUAACCUCUGUUUCAACUUUGAAGGAAAGUGGCAGAGGGGUCAUCUCGUUAUCUUGUAUGAAUAUGACUGGAGGUGAUAUUUGCUGUGUGGAGACUUGUUCAUAUAUUCCUUCUUCCUUCUGCGCUCCCUCAUGAGUUUUCUUGCACUUUAGAAACAGAGAAAAAAAAAAAGGAAUUAAACAAUAUCAGUGACUGGAAGUGGGAUUGUGAAAUAAUCCUCACCACAAUUAACAGCCUGGGACAACUGUAAAUUUUUCCAGCAAAGAAAAAGGCGACAAAACAAGAAGAAAUUGGCUUCAUAAAAAUCCUUAUGGUAGCCUUAGUUCUCAGUUGUUUAAAUCACUGAAAUUUUGAUGAGAGAAUGGAGAUGUCACAAAACGUUGGGGAUCAGGAGACUUAUGGAUCGUCAUUCUUGUAGCAGCACCUGAAAUGAUGGGGUCUCCUUCAGAGCUACAUGAUGGUGCAGCUUUGCCAGUGGACUGGGAGAAGAUGGCACCUGAAGUGCAUUUCAUGUUCCAGUUGGGAGAAAAUUCAGAACAGAGAAGAAAGGAAUGCAAGUAUACAUCUUUCAAAUCUGACACUGAUGAGUUAUUUAAAUCAAUACUUGCCUGUCAAAAAUUAAAUUCAUGAGGGAACUUUUAAGAACACGUUCUGCCAAAUGAGAGGACCUAUAGCUGCUAUCAUCCUUCAAGAAUGACACUUGAAUUUUAUCUAAUUGUAAUACUUCCAUGUUUAAUUACUAAGUGUAACAUCACAUGCUCAUCGACAAAUAAAGAUUAAAAAAAGCAUAAUUUGUCUGAAUUUUCUG
ensembl:lncRNA